rnacentral:rRNA from 1 species
AUUGAACGCUGGCGGCAGGCCUAACACAUGCAAGUCGAGCGAGUGGCGGACGGGUGAGUAAUGUAUGGGAAACUGCCCGAUGGAGGGGGAUAACUACUGGAAACGGUAGCUAAUACCGCAUACCAUCGGAUGUACCCAGAUGGGAUUAGCUAGUUGGUGGGGUAAAGGCUCACCAUGGCGACGAUCCCUAGCUGGUCUGAGAGGAUGACCAGCCACACUGGAACGGAGACACGGUCCAGACUCCUACGGGAGGCAGCAGUGGGGAAUAUUGCACAAUGGGCGCAAGCCUGAUGCAGCCAUGCCGCGUGUAUGAAGAAGGCCUUCGGGUUGUAAAGUACUUUCAGCGGGGAGGCGUUACCCGCAGACGAAGCACCGGCUAACUCCGUGCCAGCAGCCGCGGUAAUUC